rnacentral:rRNA from 1 species
AGGACGAACGCUGGCGCGGCGCCUAAGUACGAUGCAAGUCGAACGGGCCGGCUUCGGCCGGCCAGUGGCGGACGGGUGAGUAACACGUGGGUGACCUGCCCUCGAGUGGGGAAUAACGCUGCGAAAGCAGCGCUAAUACCGCAUACGCUCCGUGGUCCAAUCCGCGGAGGAAAGCUUGAUGUGCUCGAGGAGGGGCCUGCGGCAGAUUAGCUAGUCGGUGGGGUAAUGGCUUACCGAGGCAACGAUCUGUAGCUGGUCUGAGAGGAUGAUCAGCCACACUGGGACUGAGACACGGCCCAGACUCCACGGGAGGCAGCAGUAAGGAUAUUCCGCAAUGGACGCAAGUCUGACGGAGCGACGCCGCGUGCGCGACGAAGCCCUUCGGGGUGUAAAGCGCUUUUCUCGGGGAUGAGAGACGGACAGUACCCGAGGAAGAAGCCCCGGCUAACUACGUGCCAGCAGCCGCGGUAA